GACGAACGCUGGCGGCGUGCUUAACACAUGCAAGUCGAACGGUGAAGCGCCUUCCUUUUUGGUGGGUGUGGAUGAGUGGCGAACGGGUGAGUAACAGGUGAGUAACCUGCCCCCUUCUUCUGGAUAACCGCAUGAAAGUGUGGCUAAUACGGGAUAUUCUGGGUCUGUCGCAUGAUGGGUCUGGGAAAGAUAUUGUUUCGGUGGGGGAUGGGCUCGCGGCCUAUCAGCUUGUUGGUGGGGUGAUGGCCUACCAAGGCGGUGACGGGUAGCCGGCCUGAGAGGGUGGACGGUCACACUGGGACUGAGACACGGCCCAGACUCCUACGGGAGGCAGCAGUGGGGAAUAUUGCACAAUGGGCGCAAGCCUGAUGCAGCGACGCCGCGUGAGGGAUGGAGGCCUUCGGGUUGUGAACCUCUUUCGCCAGUGAAGCAGGCCUGCCUCGUUUGUGGGUGGGUUGACGGUAGCUGGAUAAGAAGCGCCGGCUAACUACGUG
rnacentral:rRNA from 1 species